ACUCUAUCCCUACGCGAGGCUCUUGCGAUCUGGGUGGGCAAUUACCACGAGCAGAUAGAGAACGAUUUAUUAGCCGCUAGAUGGCACAGACCGCAAGUUCCUGAGCCAUACGCUAUUCAGGAAAGAAAAGAUUGACAUCACACUCCAAAUUUCCGUUUCUACAAAGGCGAAUGCGACUCACUUGAUGUUCAGAAUCCGGCCCCUGACCUGUAUAUAAGACCGUGGGCACAUCUGAGACUAUUUCAAAAAACAAAUCUCUCUUGUAAUAGUAUAUACACUACGCCGGAA